rnacentral:rRNA from 1 species
GAGUCGUUGAUUUCACACUGCCGAGAAAAGCCUCUAGCUAGAAAGUUGGUGCCCGUACCGCAAACCGACACAGGUAGUCAAGAUGAGAAUUCUAAGGUGAGCGAGCGAACUCUCGUUAAGGAACUCGGCAAAAUGACCCCGUAACUUCGGGAGAAGGGGUGCUCUUUAGGGUUCACGCUCUGAAGAGCCGCAGUGAAUAGGCCCAAGCGACUGUUUAUCAAAAACACAGGUCUCUGCUAAACCGUAAGGUGACGUAUAGGGGCUGACGCCUGCCCGGUGCUGGAAGGUUAAGAGGAGUGGUUAGCUUCAGCGAAGCUACGAAUCGAAGCCCCAGUAAACGGCGGCCGUAACUAUAACGGUCCUAAGGUAGCGAAAUUCCUUGUCGGGUAAGUUCCGACCCGCACGAAAGGCGUAACGAUUUGGGCACUGUCUCAACGAGAGACUCGGUGAAAUCAUAGUACCGGUGAAGAUGCCGGUUACCCGCGACAGGACGGAAAGACCCCGUGGAGCUUUACUGUAGCCUGAUAUUGAAAUUCGGUACAGUUUGUACAGGAUAGGUAGGAGCCAUUGAAGCGUGAGCGCUAGCUUACGUGGAGGCAUUGGUGGGAUACUACCCUAAUUGUAUUGGAUUUCUAACUCGCAGCACUUAUCGUGCUGGAAGACAGUGUCAGGCGGGCAGUUUGACUGGGGCGGUCGCCUCCUAAAGUGUAACGGAGGCGCUCAAAGGUUCCCUCAGAAUGGUUGGAAAUCAUUCAUAGAGUGUAAAGGCAUAAGGGAGCUUGACUGCGAGACCUACAAGUCGAGCAGGGUCGAAAGACGGACUUAGUGAUCCGGUGGUUCCGCAUGGAAGGGCCAUCGCUCAACGGAUAAAAGCUACCCCGGGGAUAACAGGCUUAUCUCCCCCAAGAGUUCACAUCGACGGGGAGGUUUGGCACCUCGAUGUCGGCUCAUCGCAUCCUGGGGCUGUAGUCGGUCCCAAGGGUUGGGCUGUUCGCCCAUUAAAGCGGUACGCGAGCUGGGUUCAGAACGUCGUGAGACAGUUCGGUCCCUAUCCGUCGUGGGCGUAGGAAAUUUGAGAGGAGCUGUCCUUAGUACGAGAGGACCGGGAUGGACAUACCUCUGGUGUACCAGUUGUCGUGCCAACGGCAUAGCUGGGUAGCUAUGUAUGGACGGGAUAAGUGCUGAAAGCAUCUAAGCAUGAAGCCCCCCUCGAGAUGAGAUUUCCCAACUUCGGUUAUAAGAUCCCUCAAAGAUGAUGAGGUAAAUAGGUUCGAGGUGGAAGCGUAGCGAUACGUGGAGCUGACGAAUACUAAUCGAUCGAAGACUUAAUCAAAUU